rnacentral:rRNA from 1 species
CACGGGGGGAGCAAGCGUUGUUCGGAAUCACUGGGCGUAAAGGGCGUGUAGGCGGUCAAGUAAGUGGAGUGUGAAAGCCCCCGGCUUACCCGGGGAUCUGCAUCCCAAACUGCUUGGCUUGAGUACGAGAGAGGAUAGGGGAAUUCCUGGUGUAGCGGUGAAAUGCGUAGAUAUCAGGAGGAACACCGGUGGCGAAGGCGCCUAUCUGGCCCGAUACUGACGCUGAGGCGCGAAAGCUAGGGGAGCAAACGGG